rnacentral:rRNA from 1 species
UACGUAGGGGGCAAGCGUUAUCCGGAUUUACUGGGUGUAAAGGGGGCGCAGACGGCAGCGCAAGCCAGGAGUGAAAGCCCGGGGCCCAACCCCGGGACUGCUCUUGGAACUGCGCGGCUGGAGUGCAGGAGGGGCAGGCGGAAUUCCUGGUGUAGCGGUGAAUUGCGUAGAUAUCAGGAGGAACCCCGGUGGCGAAGGCGGCCUGCUGGACUGCGACUGACGUUGAGGCCCGAAAGCGUGGGGAGCAAACAGG